rnacentral:rRNA from 1 species
UACCAGCUCGCCGAGUGGUAGGGAUGAUUAUUGGGCUUAAAGCGUCCGUAGCCGGCCUUUCAAGUCUCUCGUUAAAUCCAGCGAUUCAAUCGUUGGACUGCGGGAGAUACUGUUAGGCUAGGAGGCGGGAGAAGCCGACGGUAUUUUCGGGGUAGGGGUAAAAUCCUAUAAUCCCGGGAAGACCACCAGUGGCGUAGGCGGUCGGCUAGCACGCGCUCGACGGUGAGGGACGAAAGCUGGGGGAGCGAACCGG